GGCUUUUUAGCUCAGUGGUAGAGCAACCGGCUGUUAACCGGUUGGUCGCAGGUUCAAAUCCUGCAAAAGCCGCCA
rnacentral:tRNA from 1 species